rnacentral:lncRNA from 1 species
UAGAUGCCCUUCAACAGAUGAAUGGAUAAAGAAAAGGUGGUAUAUAUACAUAAUGGAAUAUUACUCAGCCUUAAAGAAGAAUGAAAUGAUGGCACUUGCUGGUAAAUGCAUGGAACUAGAGAAUAUCAUGCUAAGUGAAAUAAGCCAAACCCUAAAAACUAAAGGGCAAAUGUUUUCUCUGAUAUUCGGAUACUAAUUCAAAAUAAGGGGUCAUGCUAAGGAAAAAUAGAGGUACUUUGGAUU